UCUUAUAUUCUUCAUUCAAGGUGGAAAGCAAUAUGAUUGUUAGAUGGUCAUCAUGGAUUUGUUUGUCGCGAUGGAGGUUGUCCCAGAAGUGGAAACAAGAGUAAGUUCUUCAAAGAUUUAUGUUGAUUUGGAAAUGCGGAAAUGUUGACUUAUGCGGUAAACGUUGGUUGUGGUUAGAACCCAUAGUGACUCCUUUGGACUAUUGGCUCUUGGUACAUUUGAAGUGUUUUUAGUAUAGUUUUGUUUUGUACAUUUCUGCAAAAAGUUGAGUUGGAGUCAUGGUCUUUUGUAUAUUGAUGUAUUUUAAGUCUUGAAGUCUUGACUAUUAUGGUGGAUUGAAGUAUAAAUCAUUUUGGAGUCAAAUUGGUCAUUUUGUCACUUUGGGUAA